GUGGCUAGAGUAGGGUCUGGAGAGAGCUCCCACUGUGGCGAGUCCUGUCGUUGGAUUCCCGCGGCGCCCCGUAAGGCUCCGCCCCGGCGGUGCUACCAAACCCUGUUCGAUUUUAGAAUCGUACAUUCCCAGAGGGAAUCCUAGACCCCUCAUUUUACAGUUGAGGAAACAGGCCCAAGUAGCAUGACUUGUUCGCGCCGCUAGUCGAAGGAGCAGCAGCCCCGAUCCCUUGACUCUGGGGCACUGCUUUCCCUUUAGCUCAUUUUUGGAGGAAAUGGGUGCGCCCUUGCUCGACCUUUGGUGAUUGCCGCCACAGGCCUUCCCGCCGGCUAACUCAGCGUGCCCAAGUCCCGUGACUUAGUGCCAGGACGGUGCUGUGACCCGUUAUCCCCUGUCGGGUUUUACCUCCCCCCGGGAGAGCUCAGCCCUGGAUCCCGGCGGGCGGCGGAGCCUCUCUGGAGCCCGGACGGGACAGCCCACCAGGGUCUGCUUCUGUGAGGGGCCGAGGCGUCAUUCCGCGAAGCCUUCUCCUUGCUGUUGCCAUGUGAAGAAGGAUGUGUUUGCUUCCCCUUCUGCCAUGAUUGUAAGUUUUCUGAAGCCUCUCCAGCCAUGCCAAACUCAUUUUGCACAGAGCUUGGCAGUUACAUAGUAGAUGUUGAACAAUUUCUUCUGUGUUUCAGCUGUCAAACUGUUCUGAAUGUGUGAGGAAAAGAAGCAUAAGCUGCAAUAAAAAUUUGGUUUCAAGAUAACAAAGUCAGUCCCCAAAAAUCAGUAUUGAGAGUCACUGACAUUAAAUGAUGAAGAUACGAGGAUGGUGUGGGGACCUUUACUCUUCGAAGAUGAGCUAUACAUGCCCCUGAAAAGGCUGUCUGAAGACAGGGGAAGGCUGGAGAUGGCAACUUUGGCCUCUGCCAAGUACUCGUGCUAUUUUCUGUAUGUGAUACUAUCUGUUUUGUAACUCAGAGGCAACACCACAUACCUAGCAUAAGGCUUGAACUCCCUUUGGGGUUAUCAAUUACUUACAUAGCCUUCCUCUAAGGGAAGGCUUGCAAGUGGUUCAUAUUCGACCCUUCCAUGUGAUAAGCAUUCAUGUGGGCUUCACAAUGUAACAGAGGUACACAGAGAUUCUUGUAAACAGAAAAUUUUAUAAAACUGUUAACUGAUCUCACUUUGAAGAAGUCUUACUGACUAGAUGUCAUUUAUCAGAGUAGACAGGCUUAAAAUGCAUUGCUUGUACUAGACUGUUGUAAUGCAUUUUUUUGUUUUUGCAUUGGUUUUUAAUUCAUUUAAUUGGUUUACACUCAUUUUUUUUUUUACAUUCCAUUUUUGCAUUUGUAUGCCAGUUAAAAAUUAUGAAAUGGCACAUUGUGGGAUUUUGUUUAGCUAAAUUCUAGAAAAAUUGAAAGAUACCUUUUAUUCGACUUAAGCCUGAGGUUAUUCAGCACGGUGAUCUCUGCAUUUUUGAAAGGUUGUCUCGUCGUUUAAUAAACGUAAAUAACUUAAGCACAUUGGAAGAGCUAUUAAAUGAGAGCAGGAGAUUAAAAAGACAUGAUUUCUUACUUUAUCCACCUGACAGGAUAGCUUGCAUUGGUGAUUAACCUUGCAUUGUUAAAUUCAUUUCCUAAAUAUUUAGGUAAGUAGUUGGUUUGAUCAUUAUUUGUAAAGUAUUAGUAGUUGCAUGUUGAAUUAUCAUGUUAAGAUUUUUAGUUUGUUGUUCAUGUGAUAUGAAAGAUAACAAUUCCUAAAACUGAAUGCAUGCAUGGCUUAUUCAGCUCAGGUCACAUACAAAGAGAAAUGUGACGCUGCAAUAAACAUAGCAGAGCUAUCUGGGUUUGAAGCAAAAAGGCUAUGACGUUAGGUAUAUGCACUUUACAUUGUAUGUAUCUUUUUAGUUCUAGUGAACUCAUCUGGAAUCAUGUUACAGAAAAUGAUUCUCCAGGUCCAAACACAUUUAAGUUUAAUGACUGGGACUACUCUAACAAUUGCGGCUAUCUCAUUUUGUCUCAUUGGUUCAUUAGCAUAGCACCCAUUUAAGAACAACUACUUCUAAACACAGUAAUAUUUCAGAGGCUAUAAAAUAAUAGAGAAAGAAAACUUAAAAAAUCCUUUGUUUGCAGCCAAGAAAAUGUGAGGAUCAGAUUUGUACUUGUUUUGAACAAUUGGAAACUGUCACAAUUGUUUUUAAGAUGUAAUAAAUGUAUAUAAAAUAUGGGAUUCUA
rnacentral:lncRNA from 1 species